rnacentral:rRNA from 1 species
CAGCCGCCGCGGUAAUACGUAGGGUGCGAGCGUUAAUCGGAAUUACUGGGCGUAAAGCGUGCGCAGGCGGUUGUGUAAGACAGGUGUGAAAUCCCCGGGCUUAACCUGGGAACUGCGCUUGUGACUGCACAGCUAGAGUAUGGCAGAGGGGGAUGGAAUUCCGCGUGUAGCAGUGAAAUGCGUAGAUAUGCGGAGGAACACCGAUGGCGAAGGCAAUCCCCUGGGCCUGCACUGACGCUCAUGCACGAAAGCGUGGGGAGCAAACAGGAUUAGAUACCCGUGUAGUCCCUGUCUCUUAUAA